rnacentral:lncRNA from 1 species
CCUGUUUAUCUUGUUCUCUAUCCUCUUCAGCUCCACUCUCCCCCUUCCCAUUGAUUUAUUUAUUUAUUGUUUGAUUCAAUCUUCUUCUCCUUCCUUGUAUCUGCUCUUGAUGAUAUCUGAUCAAAUGUACAACCACACUUAUUAUUUUCUGAUGCUUUAUUUCUUUUGUUUCCUACUUGCAGCCUUUCCUUUAAAAAUAUACUCUACAAGAAACAAAUCCACAAAAAAUAUAUAUAUAUAUAUCAGAAUUAAUUACCUUAAAAAAUACCUUACUGUACAGAUAUGGGUAUGAAACUGCAAGUAAAGUAAGUAUUUGCGCUUCUUUGUUGGGUAUUUUUCACUUUUUUCUUUCACCUUUUCUUCUUAUGUGGGUUGUAGGUAAGUG